AAACACACACUCACUCUGUCUCACACACUCACACACCUUUAUUUUUAGAUAAAGACAAAGUUUUGUUGACUUGCUCAAUCCUUAGUGUGUUCUUGGAGGAGAAGUGAAAGUGUAAUCCACUGUGUACUUUAUUCAAUUUGGGGUAUUUUAGCCUGUUCCUCAUUAGGCCUUCUUGUCAUUUGGGAUUUGGGCAACUUUGGGCACUUUGGAGUUCUGUAAGUCACUUCGCAGUUCUCCUUUAAGGCACUUUGAGACUCUGUCAUGUGUCGGAUCGUGUGUGCCGAUUUGUGGGUUACGUUGGGGAUCCCUAAGGCACUUUAGCCUGCCUAAGUGUGAUUUUGGGCACUUCUGGACAAUUUGGGGUGUCGUACCACACUUUGAGGCACAUUAUUGCACAGAUGGGCACUACAUAGCAUUUUUGUGCAUUUUAAGGUGCUACACUAGGCCCUUUUUGGACUCUGAGGGAGUUUGGAAUAUCUUUGGGUGCCUAGAGGGCACCCAAGAGAGCUAUCGAGCACUUUGGGGCGUCUAGGUCACUAGCACCAUAAAGACCUUUAGGGCACUUUGGAGCAUACUUCUUAUGUCUUACAGCAGUUUAUGAUUGUGCUAUGAUUGGAUUCUUAUCUCUUGCUAAUCAUUAGAUGCUCUUAACUUGUUUCACAUUAGCCUUUGUGAAACUUGAUGAUGUGUCCACCCAGUUAAUGUUGCGCAAGUGGGUGUGUGUGUGUGUGUGUGUGUGUG